GACGAACGCUGGCGGCGUGCCUAAUACAUGCAAGUAGAACGCUGAAGGAGGAGCUUGCUUCUCUGGAUGAGUUGCGAACGGGUGAGUAACGCGUAGGUAACCUGCCUGGUAGCGGGGGAUAACUAUUGGAAACGAUAGCUAAUACCGCAUAACAGUAGAUAUUGCAUGAUAUCUGCUUGAAAGGUGCAAUUGCAUCACUACCAGAUGGACCUGCGUUGUAUUAGCUAGUUGGUGAGGUAACGGCUCACCAAGGCGACGAUACAUAGCCGACCUGAGAGGGCGAUCGGCCACACUGGGACUGAGACACGGCCCAGACUCCUACGGGAGGCAGCAGUAGGGAAUCUUCGGCAAUGGACGGAAGUCUGACCGAGCAACGCCGCGUGAGUGAAGAAGGUUUUCGGAUCGUAAAGCUCUGUUGUAAGAGAAGAACGAGUGUGAGAGUGGAAAGUUCACACUGUGACGGUAUCUUACCAGAAAGGGACGGCUAACUACGUGCCAGCAGCCGCGGUAAUACGUAGGUCCCGAGCGUUGUCCGGAUUUAUUGGGCGUAAAGCGAGCGCAGGCGGUUAGAUAAGUCUGAAGUUAAAGGCUGUGGCUUAACCAUAGUACGCUUUGGAAACUGUUUAACUUGAGUGCAAGAGGGGAGAGUGGAAUUCCAUGUGUAGCGGUGAAAUGCGUAGAUAUAUGGAGGAACACCGGUGGCGAAAGCGGCUCUCUGGCUUGUAACUGACGCUGAGGCUCGAAAGCGUGGGGAGCAAACAGG
rnacentral:rRNA from 1 species